rnacentral:rRNA from 1 species
AUGGAGAUUAAAGGCGAAAAUCCAUUCCCAAAUCGUCUCUCCUUCCUUUCUCAGUGUUCGUCUCGUUCCCCAACAAUCAGAUGUUGGAGAUGUGGAGACGGUGUUCUUCUAAUAUUAACUGGAUCUAAGUGUGAGAGAGUCCUCGGGAGUCAGGAGAUUAGAAGAACUGCAGAAUGGGGAAAUUAUUCAGUUCUUGGUGUCGUCUUCUCGUUCGUGCUGACUACUGCAACCUGCGGAUCUGGCAACCUACAUCCACAUGAAUACAUAUUUAGGCCACAGCUGAAUCCAUGGCGAAAUGCUUCCUGGUGCUCGUCUUCAUGGCAUUUCUCCUGCCGGCGGCCUACGCGAUGUGCCACCCUGACGACCUCCAAGCGCCGCGGGGCUUNNNNNNNNNNAGCAAUAGAAGGACACUCCAACAACAACAAUCAAAUACCAUUACUGGCACCAACAAACAGUGUCAGAUCUGGGAGUGGCAAUAUUGUAUCUGGGAACGGCAACACUGUCGUAUCUGGGGACAACAAUAAUGUUUCUGGGAGCAACAACACAGUCACAUCUGGGAGCAGCAAUGUCAUAGUUGACAGCAACCAUGUCGUUACUGGGAGCAACAAUACUGUAUCGGGCAAUAACAAUAGGGUAACUGGGAACAAUAAUGUUGUAUCAGGGAGCAACCAAGUCGUGUCCGGGGACAACAAAGUCGUAACUGGCUAA